rnacentral:rRNA from 1 species
GACGAACGCUGGCGGCGUGCUUAACACAUGCAAGUCGAACGGAAAGGCCCUGCUUUUGUGGGGUUCUCGAGUGGCGAACGGGUGCGUAACACGUGAGUAACCUGCCCUUGUCUUUGGGAUAACUUCAGGAAACUGGGGCUAAUACCGGAUAGGAGCUCCUGCUGCAUGGUGGGGGUUGGAAAGUUUCGGCGGGAGGGGAUGGACUCGCGGCUUAUCAGCUUGUUGGUGGGGUAGUGGCUUACCAAGGCUUUGACUGGUAGCCGGCCUGAGAGGGUGACCGGCGACCUGGGGACUGAGGGACGGAGCAGACUGCUACGGGAGGCAGCAGGGGGGAAUAUUGCACAAUGGGCGGAAGCCUGAGGCAGCAACGCCGCGGGCGGGAUGACGGCCUUCGGGUUGUAAACCGCUUUCGCCUGUGACGAAGCGGGAGUGACGGUAAUGGGUAAAGAAGCACCGGCUAACUACGUG